UGGGGAAUUUUGGACAAUGGGCGAAAGCCUGAUCCAGCCAUGCCGCGUGAGUGAAGAAGGCCUUCGGGUUGUAAAGCUCUUUUAGUCGGAAAGAAAGAGUUGCAAUGAAUAAUUGUGAUUUAUGACGGUACCGACAGAAAAAGCACCGGCUAACUACGUGCCAGCAGCCGCGGUAAUACGUAGGGUGCGAGCGUUAAUCGGAAUUACUGGGCGUAAAGGGUGCGCAGGCGGUCUUGCAAGUCAGAUGUGAAAGCCUCGGGCUUAACCUGGGAAUUGCGUUUGAAACUACAAGGUUAGAGUGCAGCAGAGGGGAGUGGAAUUCCAUGUGUAGCAGUGAAAUGCGUAGAGAUGUGGAAGAACACCGAUGGCGAAGGCAGCUCCCUGGGUUGACACUGACGCUCAUGCACGAAAGCGUGGGGAGCAAACA
rnacentral:rRNA from 1 species